UACGGACGGGGCAAGCGUUGUUCGGAAUCAUUGGGCGUAAAGGGCGCGUAGGUGGUUCUGUAUGUCUACCGUGAAAGCGUACGGCUCAACCGUAUUUUGUCGGUAGAAACUGCAGGACUUGAGGCUGGGAGGGGCUGGUGGAAUUCCCUGUGUAGCGGUGAAAUGCGUAGAGAUGGGGGAGAACACUCGUGGCGAAGGCGGUUCUCUGGGACGGUACUGACGCUGAGACGCGAAAGCGUGGGGAGCGAACAGG
rnacentral:rRNA from 1 species